rnacentral:rRNA from 1 species
AUGCCCCCUCUCUUCCUCUGCUGCGAAAUUGCUAUCUCGCAAGCGCCACGGCGACCACGACCGCUCUAUCUUAGGGAAAUCAAUGGGUUGGGUUCGUUCCGUUCCAUUUUCUUCGCUCCUUUCCCACUUGGAAUUUCUUCUCAUUCCGUUUUCCUUUCCUUUGCUCCGUCUUCAUUACGGAGGAAAUUCGUUCCUUUCCCUUCUCUUCGGAAGAAAUUCGUUCCUUUCCCUUCUCCUCUGGAGGGAAUUUGGGCGCGGCGGCGGGGGCCGGUGGGGGCGGCGCGCCGCGGAAGGGCGGGGCAGCAGAUGGACGGGGCCCGGUGGGGGCGGCGCGCCGCGGAAGGGCGUGGCAGCAGAUGGACGGGGCCCGGCGGUGGUGGCGCGCUGCGGAUGGAUGGGAGGCAAGACCUCGAGACCGCCGCUGAUACCCCCGUGAUCGACUACAUCGACAACGACCCCUCCUUCUUGCCAGAGCAACCAGGCGUUGGAGCCCAGGAGCCAGACGCCACCGUCGACGAUGACUCCUACUACACUGGAGGUGCCUACUACUACGUGCAGGCCGCUGACAGAGUAGUUUAG